GUGAGGAAUAUUGGUCAAUGGAGGCAACUCUGAACCAGCCAUGCCGCGUGCAGGAAGACGGUCCUAUGGAUUGUAAACUGCUUUUAUUUAGGAAUAAACCCCCGGUCGUGCACCGGGGCUGAAUGUACUAAAAGAAUAAGCACCGGCUAACUCCGUGCCAGCAGCCGCGGUAAUACGGAGGGUGCAAGCGUUAUCCGGAAUCAUUGGGUUUAAAGGGUCCGCAGGCGGGUAAAUAAGUCAGAGGUGAAAUCCGGCAGCUCAACUGUCGCACUGCCUUUGAUACUGUUUAUCUUGAAUUUUAGUGGAGUGGGCGGAAUAUGUCAUGUAGCGGUGAAAUGCUUAGAUAUGACGUGGAACACCGAUAGCGAAGGCAGCUCACUAACUAUGAAUUGACGCUCAUGGACGAAAGCGUGGGUAGCAAACAGGAUUAGAUACCCGAGUAGUCC
rnacentral:rRNA from 1 species